rnacentral:lncRNA from 1 species
AGAAUCUCACACUCAGCCUGCCUCCCACACGUUCCUCUUCCCGCCCAGUCCUAUCAGCUAACUUUUGCCUCUCAGGAUUCAGAUUCAUCUUCUACAGGUUUUUCAACAAGGAAAUGCAUGACCUUUCCAGCCUCUUCAGUCUUCUUCUCGACCUAUGAACAAGUUUUGCAUUUUCUGUCUGAAAGGAGGAUGAAGAGUUUGGCAGAGAAGAAUGUGAAGCGGUACAAAGCAGGGCUUCUGACAACUGACUUAGCAGUUCUCUUCACUUGCUUGCUAAGGACACGAGUACCUCAGCGCCCAAAUCCAGAAAGAGAAGCAGGAAGCGAUGGCGGCCUGCGAAGGACACACCCCUGGACGCCGAGUCCCGGGUUCUUGGGUUCUCAGCCUUCCCGCUGCACAGCAGGGACCUCAGAAUCGUCCCCCUGUGAAUUCUCUCACCCAUAUUCUCAUCCUUCCCACUGUUUUCCCUGCUUCUCCCACUCACCCUAUUCUGGGAAAAUUCCAGAGAUAAACGUGGGAAACCACAGGCUGCCCUUCCUUCGGUGCUUCUGCAUUUCCCAGCGCCCAGGAUCUGCCCGCUGGAUUACAGCAGCUCCUGAAGACCGUUUCUGAUCUGCCUUGGGUGGAACUGGGUGUCCACACGCGUGGGGUCACCACCACAAUCAACAUUUCCACCACCCAGAUGUCACAGUGAUAUCAUGGCCACGUGGCCAUCACCACUGCAACCAUGGACGUGCUUUAGACCUGCAUGGAUCAGACUGGCUUUCAAGAAUUGCAUCUGAAUGGAAUCAGUCACGUUGAGUCUCACUUCUAGGUUUGGAUAAUUUUUUUGAGAUUCAUCCAUGUUGUUAAUGUAUUAGUAGAGUAGCUUUCCCUUGUAUGGAGACCACAGUUUUUAUCCAUUCACUAUUAAUAAACAUUUGAGGUAUUUUCCCCCUAGGUUUUGG